AGAUGAAGCUGUCAAUCAGAUGGGGCUGUGAAUCAGAUGCAGUUGUCAAUGGGACAGAGGUGUCAAUCGGACAGGGCCGUCAAUCGGAGUCAUCAUCAAGAUGACAUUGUCAAUCACAUUGGGCUGUCAAUCGGACAGAGCUGUCAAUCGGACAGGGCCGUCAACCGGAGUUAUCAGCAAGAUGAAGCUGUCAAUCAGAUGGGGCUGUCAAUCAGAUGGGGCUGUCAAUCGGACAGAGGUGUUAAUAGGACAGGGCCGUCAAUCAGAGUCAUCAUCAAGAUGACAUUGUCAAUCAGAUGGGGCUGUCAAUGGGACAGAGGUGUCAAUCGGACAGGGCCAUCAAUCGGACAGGGCCGUCAACCGGAGUCAUCAUCAAGGUGAAGCUGUCAAUCAAUCACAUUGGGCUGUCAAUUGGACAGAGGGGUCAAUGGGACAGAGGUGUCAAUCGGACAGGGCCAUCAAUUGGAGUUAUCG
rnacentral:lncRNA from 1 species